rnacentral:rRNA from 1 species
CAGCAGCCGCGGUAAACGUAGGAUCCGAGCGUUAUCCGAAUUUACUGGGCGUAAAGCGCGUGCAGGCGGUUUGGUAAGUUGGAUGUGAAAGCUCCCGGCUCAACUGGGAGAGGUCGUUCAAAACUGCCAGACUAGAGGGUGGUAGAGGAAGGUGGAAUUCCCGGU